AUUGAACGCUGGCGGCAGGCUUAACACAUGCAAGUCGAACGAUGAUUAUCUAGCUUGCUAGAUAUGAUUAGUGGCGGACGGGUGAGUAACAUUUAGGAAUCUGCCUAGUAGUGGGGGAUAGCUCGGGGAAACUCGAAUUAAUACCGCAUACGACCUACGGGUGAAAGGGGGCGCAAGCUCUUGCUAUUAGAUGAGCCUAAAUCAGAUUAGCUAGUUGGUGGGGUAAAGGCCCACCAAGGCGACGAUCUGUAACUGGUCUGAGAGGAUGAUCAGUCACACCGGAACUGAGACACGGUCCGGACUCCUACGGGAGGCAGCAGUGGGGAAUAUUGGACAAUGGGGGCAACCCUGAUCCAGCCAUGCCGCGUGUGUGAAGAAGGCCUUUUGGUUGUAAAGCACUUUAAGCAGGGAGGAGAGGCUAAUGGUUAAUACCCAUUAGAUUAGACGUUACCUGCAGAAUAAGCACCGGCUAACUCUGUGCCAGCAGCCGCGGUAAUACAGAGGGUGCGAGCGUUAAUCGGAAUUACUGGGCGUAAAGCGAGUGUAGGUGGCUCAUUAAGUCACAUGUGAAAUCCCCGGGCUUAACCUGGGAACUGCAUGUGAUACUGGUGGUGCUAGAAUAUGUGAGAGGGAAGUAGAAUUCCAGGUGUAGCGGUGAAAUGCGUAGAGAUCUGGAGGAAUACCGAUGGCGAAGGCAGCUUCCUGGCAUAAUAUUGACACUGAGAUUCGAAAGCGUGGGUAGCAAACAGGAUUAGAUACCCUGGUAGUCCACGCCGUAAACGAUGUCUACUAGCCGUUGGGGUCCUUGAGACUUUAGUGGCGCAGUUAACGCGAUAAGUAGACCGCCUGGGGAGUACGGCCGCAAGGUUAAAACUCAAAUGAAUUGACGGGGGCCCGCACAAGCGGUGGAGCAUGUGGUUUAAUUCGAUGCAACGCGAAGAACCUUACCUGGUCUUGACAUAGUGAGAAUCCUGCAGAGAUGCGGGAGUGCCUUCGGGAAUUCACAUACAGGUGCUGCAUGGCUGUCGUCAGCUCGUGUCGUGAGAUGUUGGGUUAAGUCCCGCAACGAGCGCAACCCUUUUCCUUAUUUGCCAGCGGGUUAAGCCGGGAACUUUAAGGAUACUGCCAGUGACAAGCUGGAGGAAGGCGGGGACGACGUCAAGUCAUCAUGGCCCUUACGACCAGGGCUACACACGUGCUACAAUGGUAGGUACAGAGGGUUGCUACACAGCGAUGUGAUGCUAAUCUCAAAAAGCCUAUCGUAGUCCGGAUUGGAGUCUGCAACUCGACUCCAUGAAGUCGGAAUCGCUAGUAAUCGCAGAUCAGAAUGCUGCGGUGAAUACGUUCCCGGGCCU
rnacentral:rRNA from 1 species